UACUGAAACCUCUUUUGACAGAAUAUUCCAGACAAGUAGAUACCUGACCAAGGGGGACCUCAAGUGACUUCCCAGAAUUUCCAGCAACUCCUAAUGGACAGACUGGGGAUGGAGAGGGCCAAGCCUCAGGGUCUGACAGUACAAGGAACCUGUUCCACACAACCAUCUUCUUCACGAGAGCACUUACAACUGCUGCUGCAGGUGCCUGGUCACCUGGCAUCCUCUGUGGGGAUCGCCUUCACAGCCUGCAGCACAGCUCUGACCAUCCUCACCAGAGGCACAUGCUUGUCCUUCAGGGUGGAUCUGAUUUUUAAAAACAGCCAAGUUUUCUCUGAGGCUGGAGAAUAAGUUGAGGACCUAGCCGGGAAGCAGUAUUUCCAGUUAAAUACAAGGUGAAUGUGGGCAGACAUGGUGGAGGAUGUGCGCUCCUCCAAAAUGGUUCUGAAAGGUCAUUGUGAAGGAGAUACUUUUGCGGCAUGUGACAGAAGGAGACAUUUCUGGUGGCCACUAGAGCCCAGAUUACUGUUCCUGUCCAUUUGUGAAAAACAGGUAUUUGUACUCGUGGGAGUUUUCCCAGCCUGGUACUGGAGGCAUGAAACCUGCAUUUGCCUGAAAUACUGGGACAAGUGGUCUUGGCCUUGGGGAGCUUACAGUCUCCUCCCUGCCAACUAAUAUGCAAAGUUACCCGAUGAUACUCACUCAACACAGAUCAAGUGCAAAGGGCAAGGGGAAAUUCAGAAUCAAGUCAAGUUAGUUCAUCAGGGAAGGCUGCCUGGAGGAAAGGAGUUAUGAGUGGGCUGUAGGACAAACCCAACAGGACAUGGGGUGGAGGAGGAAAAGAAGAGAACUUCUCUCUUGAUUCUGAAACAGGAUGAGCAAACGAUAAGGCAGGUAGGAGACAGCUUUGUUGGCCUGGAAUAAAUACUUAGAUUGGAAAUCAGCAUGAUGUAUCCUCAGAGGCUGUGAGGAUGACUGAGCCUGGACUGCACAGGUUAGUGAGCCAUGGCUGGAGGUACUGCCAGGGCCAAGACAAGUGGGGAAGAGACCCCUGGGGAUCAGGAGAUAGAGAGGGACACAGGAUUGUGUGGAGGGGUAUUGGGAAGACUGAAGGCUUUGAGACCUUUAUCCUGACCAUCCCCUCAUCCACCCCUUCCAUGGACUGAAUUCUGUAUUUUAAAGCUAAAGGAACUUCAGUAAAUGAUCUGGUUUAGCCUUUCAUAUUCAGAGGGUAAGGUAUGACUUCCCCACUUCCCAGAUGAGGCCUCAACUUGGCCAAGCUCUCCUGGGAAGAACAGGCUGAGAAGGGCCCCAGGAGGCAGGUCUUUUGCCCUCUGGGGGUCACUUCUCCCUCACACAACAGGCCCCAAGCCUGGGUGCUUCCCAAGGCAGAACCUGAAGGAGGGGGCACCACAGUGCCGUCCUUUGAUUCUUUGCUCCUCCCCUUACCAGCUCUGUGACUUGAAGCAAGUUACUUAACCUCUCUGUGCCAUGGUUUUAUUAUCUGUAAAAGAGACCUACUCUGUGUCCUAUUAUUGAGAAUAAAAUGAAAUUUAUACCACAGAA